rnacentral:tRNA from 1 species
GGAGAGGUUGCCGAGCGGUUUAAGGCGGCGGUCUCGAAAACCGUUGUGGGGUAACUCACCGGGGGUUCGAAUCCCCCCCUCUCCG